GUGGGCAGUUUGACUGGGGCGGUCGCCUCCUAAAAGGUAACGGAGGCGCCCAAAGGUUCCCUCAGAAUGGUUGGAAAUCAUUCGCAGAGUGUAAAGGCACAAGGGAGCUUGACUGCGAGACCUACAAGUCGAGCAGGGACGAAAGUCGGGCUUAGUGAUCCGGUGGUUCCGCAUGGAAGGGCCAUCGCUCAACGGAUAAAAGCUACCCCGGGGAUAACAGGCUUAUCUCCCCCAAGAGUCCACAUCGACGGGGAGGUUUGGCACCUCGAUGUCGGCUCAUCGCAUCCUGGGGCUGUAGUCGGUCCCAAGGGUUGGGCUGUUCGCCCAUUAAAGCGGUACGCGAGCUGGGUUUAGAACGUCGUGAGACAGUUCGGUCCCUAUCCGUCGCGGGCGCAGGAAAUUUGAGAGGAGCUGUCCUUAGUACGAGAGGACCGGGAUGGACGCACCGCUGGUGUACCAGUUGUUCUGCCAAGGGCAUCGCUGGGUAGCUAUGUGCGGACGGGAUAAGUGCUGAAAGCAUCUAAGCAUGAAGCCCCCCUCAAGAUGAGAUUUCCCAUUCCUAUAAGGAAGUAAGAUCCCUGAAAGAUGAUCAGGUUGAUAGGUCUGAGGUGGAAGUGUGGCGACACAUGGAGCUGACAGAUACUAAUCGAUCGAGGACUUAACCUA
rnacentral:rRNA from 1 species